rnacentral:rRNA from 1 species
AGAACGAACGCUGGCGGCAUGCCUAAUACAUGCAAGUCGAACGAAGGCUUCGGCCUUAGUGGCGCACGGGUGCGUAACGCGUGGGAAUCUGCCCCUUGGUUCGGAAUAACAGUUGGAAACGACUGCUAAUACCGGAUGAUGACGAAAGUCCAAAGAUUUAUCGCCAAGGGAUGAGCCCGCGUAGGAUUAGCUAGUUGGUGAGGUAAAGGCUCACCAAGGUCGACGAUCCUUAGCUGGUCUGAGAGGAUGAUCAGCCACACUGGGACUGAGACACGCCCAGACUCCUACGGGAGGCAGCAGUAGGGAAUAGUUGGACAAGUGGGACGAAAGCCUAGAUCCAGCAAUGCGCGUGAGUGAUGAAGUCCUUAGGUAUAAGUCUACGUUUACCGAGUACGUG